UCUACAGGGAGAAGAUAGCUAGUGAGAUUUAACUAGAUACAGGACAUGCAAGGACUAUGUUGCUUAUUGCCCAAGUUUCAGGAUUCCCAAGAGUUGCCUAGACUUGUGGAACACGCAUGCUCGACAGAACUGGCGCUCAGUAAACUCUCAAUCCUCAACACGUGCUACUCUUUCUCUUGGUUAAUUGAUGAGGACAAGAUGAAAUGGUAACAGGACAAAAAAUUCAGUUCUAGGCCUUGCCCCGGAGAGAGAGAGAGAGAGAGAGAGAGAGAGAGA